CCCUGGGAGGUCAGUGCAGGGUUCCUCCAUUUUGACAUGAGUAAAUUCUAGAUUAGGUAUUUGGCAGUUAACUCAUCUGGAUAUAUGGGAACAGAAGUGCCAGACACGUAGAUAAUAUUUGGAGAACAGGAGCAGACUUGGAACAUGCUGAAUAGAGGACAAGGAAGUAUCAUCAGACAAACUUAAAGAUGAUCUGACAAUGUCAUUUUCCAAGGGACUGAUAGAAAGAUUGAGUAUCAUGGAAUCAGAACAGACAACAGAGAAUCAGAUUUGGACUGAAUCAGAAUAAACAGGCAAUGCAGACACUUGUUCUCUGAAUCACAAUCAAGACUCAGUGCUGGAACAGAUUUGAGGAAUGUAUACAAUUCUUAUCUAAACUGAUGUCUGAUAUUUAACCAGGUUAAAGUUUUUUCUUUUAUUUUAAUGUGAGAAAAAUUUAACAGAUAAUACAUUUUCCCUUCACUACUCAAUGUCUCAGUUAGAAUUUCAUCUGAAUUGCAUUUAUUCAAUUCAUUUUAUUUCUUGACUUGGUGGAUUUAAUAUUCCUGGCAUGCUUUGAAAACAUGGCUGAAUGCAUUUAUGAAUGAAAAUUGACAAAUCCUAGUUCUGUUUCUUAAAUACAUUAUUUGUCACAAGCUUUAGAAGAAAAUCACUAAUUAUUUAAUGUGGUUGUAUUUUCAAAUCCCUGAAAAGUGUUGAAUGCUAUAUACCAAACAUAUAUUGGCAUAUCAAAUGUUGCCCAAGAGUCAAGCAUGACUUUUAUAAGAAGUUGCAAGAAAAGAUUGAAAAUAUUUGUAAAAAUGAAUAUUUUGUCACUCUUUAAGAACCAGAAUGCUUUGAUCUACAUUUGUAGAUUUCUAGUUUGGAUAAGUUAUUUGGAGAAAUAAACAAAAUUGUUUUAUUGAAAAAGUUUUAUGUUAAUUUCAUAGUUGACUGUUUCCAUGGAAAAUAAAAAUAUUUUUGACUCUUACCAUAAACUCUUAGAUUUAAUGUCACCUUUGGUUGUUUAUCUGUACAUUUCUUCCUAUUCAAUCUCCAGACAUAUCUCCAAAUAUAUCACGGUAUAAAAAGUAGAAAACACUGUAGAAUAAUUUUCUCCACUUAUUUUACGGGAUUUUAUGAAUGUCUCGUAAUCUUUGUCAAACACUUUUAUUUUACUUAAAAAGGCAAAUACACAGCAAACAAAAUUGUAUAUGGGCUCUGUGUGAUCAAAAUAAAACCAUUCAGAAUCAUUGCACGUUAGU